rnacentral:rRNA from 1 species
AUGGAGAUGGUGUCUUCCGGCCAUACCGCGGUGAACAUCAACGGGGAAAUCGGGCCCUACUUCCCCACUUCCUGUGGGGUUAGGCAGGGUGACCCCUUUUCCCUGUUUCUGUUCAAUAUGGUGGUUGAUGCCUUGGCCUCGAUCCUGGAUAAGGCCAAGGCCGCCGGCCACAUACUAGGCAUUACCCCGCACUUGGUGGAGGGAGGAGGCGUCUCCCUUCUCCAAUACGCUGAUGACACCAUCAUCAUGGUCCAAGGCUCGGCGCCUGAGAUCUCGAACCUCAAUUUCCUCCUGCUGUGUUUCCAGCACCUGUCAGGCCUCAGAAUAAAUUUUGAUAAAAGCGAGGUGAUGAUUCUGGGCUAUUCGCCCGAUGAGAGCCAGAGCAUCGCUAACCGGCUUAACUGUCGGUUGGGGACAUUCCCCACUACCUACCUGGGGGUCCCCAUUAGUGACUCCCGCCUGACCAUGGACGACCUACGGCCCUCGGUGCUCAAGCUCCAACACCGCAUCAAGCCGUGGCAGGGUCGUUGGCUCUCUAAGGCGGCUCGUACGAUCCUCAUCAAUUCGUCCCUUUCCAGCCUCCUCCUAUUCAUCAUGAGCUUCUACAGCUUCCCCGAGACUCUCCACCAUGGGAUUGGUUCGGUCCAGGCCCGGUUCUAUUGGGCGGGCGAGGGCGACAAGCAAAAGUACCAUAUGGUGCGCUGGUCUGAAAUCUGCAAGCCCCGGGAUCAAGGUGGUCUUGGUAUCAUGUCCUCCAAGCGCAUGAACCUGGCACUCCUCACUCGUUGGCUCUGGCGCAUUGCGAAUGGCGAUGGCAGCCUGUGGUUGCAGAUCGUGCGCCAGAAAUACCUGCGUGGUCAACCCCUCGCCUUCUGCGCCCGGACCGGAGGGUCCCAGUUCUGGCAAUCUGUCAUUCAGCUCCUACCGGUCCUCCGUAUUGGGACAUCCAUCUCGAUCGGAACUGGGUCAUCCACGCUGUUUUGGUUAGACCGCUGGGCUGGGGACCUCCCCUUCGCUGCGAGAUUCCCUGACCUCUUCUCCAUCGCCGUUGACCCGAGGAUUUCCGUUGAGACGGCCCUUAUUGACUUAGGGCGUCUCGUGUUCCGGCGGCCUUUUGCCCCCCCGGAAGUCGCUGCUUGGCACGAUCUCCUUGAUGCCGUCGCUCUUCAUGAGCCUGACCUCUCUCAGCCUCUUGACCGGUUGUCUUGGCGCCUGGAACCUUCAGGCCGCUUCUCCACGUAG